rnacentral:rRNA from 1 species
GACGAACGCUGGCGGCGUGCUUAACACAUGCAAGUCGUACGGUAAGGUCCUUUCCGGGGUACUCGAGUGGCGAACGGGGAAGUAACACGUACAUAACCUGACCACAACUAUGAGAUAACGCUAGGUAACUGAUACCAAUACUGGUUAUGUGCUACUGAUUCAUGCUCGGGGUUGGAUAGCUCCGGCGGUUGUGGCUGUCAUUGCGGCCUAUCUGCUUGCUGGUGGGGUAAUGGCCUACCAAGGCGGCGUCGGGUAGCCGGCCUGAGUGGGUGACCGGCCACACUGGGACUGAGAUACGGCCCAGACUGCUACGGGAGGCAGCAGUGGGGAAUCUUGCAGAAUGAGCGCAAGCCUGAUGCUGAAAGGCCGCGUGCGGUAUGACGGCGUUAGGGUGGUAAACCGCUUUCAGAAGGGACGAUGCUCUUUGUGACGGUACCUGAACAAGAAGCACCGGCUAACUACGUG